CCGGGCAUAACGGGCAGGAAAGCCCAGCU
rnacentral:sRNA from 1 species